rnacentral:rRNA from 1 species
GACGAACGCUGGCGGCGUGCUUAACACAUGCAAGUCGAGCGGUAAGGCCCUUUCGGGGGUACACGAGCGGCGAACGGGUGAGUAACACGUGGGUGACCUGCCCUCAGCUCUGGGAUAAGCCUGGGAAACUGGGUCUAAUACUGGAUAUGACUCCACGGUGCAUGUCGUGGGGUGGAAAGCCUUGUGCGGCUGAGGAUGGGCCCGCGGCCUAUCAGCUUGUUGGUGGGGUGANGGCCUACCAAGGCGACGACGGGUAGCCGGCCUGAGAGGGCGACCGGCCACACUGGGACUGAGACACGGCCCAGACUCCUACGGGAGGCAGCAGUGGGGAAUCUUGCGCAAUGGGCGAAAGCCUGACGCAGCAACGCCGCGUGGGGAUGAAUGCCUUCGGGUU